CUCAUUAGCAUCUCCAUCUUG
rnacentral:miRNA from 1 species